GGGGGGGGGGAAUAAAAAGAAAUUGUGGGAGGUCAAUUUUUUCUCAUUUCAGAUUUCAGAAAUUAAAAAGAAUUAUUCUUCAAAUAUUAUUUUUUUUUCAAAUUUCAAAUAUUGAAAAAUUUCAAGAAGUAAUCUUUAAUUGCACAGUAUGGCGCAUUAGAUUUGUAAAAUCUUUGAUCACAUUUAUUUAUUUGUUAUGCCGAAUCUAACAGUGUAUUUAGAUUUUUAAUUUUGGGUCCAGUUUUCAAAUUGGUCUACAUUAAGGUCCAAAGGGUCCAAAAUUAAACUUUGUUUGAUUUUAGCAAAAAUUGAAUAUAUGAGGUUCUUUGAUAUGCUGAAUCUAAACAUGUGUUUAGAUUUUUGAUUAUGGGCCCAGUUUUCAAGUUGGUCCAAGUUGGGGUCCAAAAUUAAACUUUUUUUGAUUUCAACAAAAAUUGAAUAUAUGGGGUUCUUUGAUAUGCUGAAUCUAACCAUGAAUUUAGAUUUUUUAUUUGUGGGCCCCGCUAUCAAAUUGGUUCAUAUUGAGGUCAAAAGGGUCCAAAAUUAAACUUUGAUUGAUUUCAUCAAAAAUUGAAUUAUUGGGGUUCUUUGAUAUUCCAAAUCUAACCGUGUAUUUAGAUUUUUAAUUUUAAGUCCCGUUUUUAUACGACCGCAAAAAAAUUUUUGUGGUCGUAUAUUGGUAUGACGUUGUCGUCGUCGUCGUCGUCGUCCUGCGUCGUCGUCCGAAUACACAUUAGUUUUCGCACUCUAACUUUAGUUUAAGUGAAUGGAUCUCAAUGAAAUUUUACCAUAAGGUUCAAUACCACAAAAGGAAGGUGGGGAUUGAUUUUGGGGGUUAUAGUACUAACAGUUAAGGAAUUAGGGGCCAAAAGGGGCCAAAAAUAAGCAUUUUUGUAACUUCCAGACAUAACUUGUGUGUAAGUGUAUGGAUCUCUCUGACAUUGUACCACAAGGUUCCAUAUCACAAAGGGAAUGCUGGGAUUGAUUUUGGGGGUAAUUGCCUCCAAAUUUUAGGAAUUAGGGGCCAAAAAGGGGCAAAAAACAAGCAUUUUUCUAGUUUCAUGACAAUAACUUGUUUGUAAUUGUAUGGAUCUUUAUGAAAUUGUACUACAAGGUUCCAUAUCACAAAGGGAAUACUGGGAUUGAUUUUUGGGGUAAUUUCCUCCAAAUUUUAGGAAUUAGGGGCCAAAAUGGGGCAAAAAACAAGCAUUUUUCUAGUUUCAUGACAAUAACUUGUUUGUAAGUGUAUGGAUCUUUAUGAAAUUGUACUACAAGGUUCCAUAUCACAAAGGGAAAGCUGGAAUUGAGUUUGGGGGUAAUUGCCCUAAACGUUUAGGAAUUUGGGGCCAAAAAGGGGCCAAAAACAAGCAUUUUUCUAGUUUCCAGACAAUAACUUGUGUUCAAGUGUAUGAAUCUCUCUGAAAUUGUACUGCAAGGUACCAUACCACAAAGGGAAAGCUGGGAUUGAGUUUGGGGGUGAUGAAUCAUAAGGGGGUUCAAAAAAUUGGGGGGGGAUUUUUUUUUUCCUUUUUUUUCUUUAACAUUUUCCAUUUUAAAUUGGUUAUUUCUGAUUUAUAUAUAAAAGCAAAUAAUAAUGAUAUGGUUUGAAUAGGCAUACAUGUGAACCUCCCGACGGGAGUACAAUAAUCCCGUUUUCAGGGGUCUCCUCCCGACCUCCCGUUGAAGAGGAAAAAAUCCCGUGUAUGAAAUUUUUCAUGAAUGAAAAAUUUCUGCCCAACAUAUCAUCUCAGGCAUCUGGUGUAACUGACAUUACCUGAAGUUAUAUUUUACCUGUAAAUCAAUUAACAUGCAUAAUUAUAUGGCUUCACUUGUCAGCUUGGGUGUCAAACAUACUGGUAAUCAACGAUUUUUACCUCAGGCUAACUGCCGUUGUGUAACAAAAACUGUGUAUUUAUUGGGUUACUUCCCUUGAUUUAUCCUGUUUUAAGUUACUUUCCUUUUAAUAAUGAAAAUUUUUAAAAGAAUAUAAAUAAAAUAUAAAUUGAACAAAUAAUCAUAAAAGGAUGGUUAUUAAAUGAUUUUAAAUGUCUUAGGAGACAAAUAAAAAAAUAAUAAUUUGAAAAUUAUUUGAGGAUUCUAUACUUCCUUUCAAGGCUUAAAUUGAAAUUUAUAUAGUAACUAUGACCCUAAUUUUACAGAUAGAAUGAUUUUCUGAGUUUGCAAAUAAAAACUAUUUGCAAGAGAAAAAAAAAAAAAAAAAAAACAUAUUUGCAGAUAGCUAAACAAAUGUUCUGGUU